ACAUUCACUGCAGCAAACCUAUAAAUCUCCUCACGGCCCAAACAUCCUGAAGGAUCUCCCAUGUUGCAUCAGUGCUUGUGCAUUUUUCACCAGGGUGUCUGGCGGCUGUUCUUGUUGCGUUUCUGGUUUGUGAUGUCGGAGUACAGAUCAGAGGAUUGUGGGUAAAGCUGGAGCAAUAACACGCAUACGUGAUGAAGGAGUGGCUGCCGGCCGUGUGUGUCUUUCACCUGAGAGAGCUUGCCCAGUGUGUCGUGGUCCAGAGUGAAGGCCCAGAGCUGCAGUCUGGCGCUCAAAUGAGGAACGUUGCCCAGGGUCAGGAGACACUGCUCUGCAGGGCCCAGAGGUGAACGCGGGGCCUGAGCUUUUGCCUCCUUUAUUAG